rnacentral:rRNA from 1 species
ACGGGAGGCAGCAGUGGGGAAUUUUGGACAAUGGGCGCAAGCCUGAUCCAGCUAUUCCGCGUGUGGGAUGAAGGCCCUCGGGUUGUAAACCACUUUUGUAGAGAACGAAAAGACACCUUCGAAUAAAGGGUGUUGCUGACGGUACUCUAAGAAUAAGCACCGGCUAACUACGUGCCAGCAGCCGCGGUAAUACGUAGGGUGCGAGCGUUAAUCGGAAUUACUGGGCGUAAAGGGUGCGCAGGCGGUUGAGUAAGACAGAUGUGAAAUCCCCGAGCUUAACUCGGGAAUGGCAUAUGUGACUGCUCGGCUAGAGUGUGUCAGAGGGAGGUGGAAUUCCACGUGUAGCAGUGAAAUGCGUAGAUAUGUGGAAGAACACCGAUGGCGAAGGCAGCCUCCUGGGACAUAACUGACGCUCAGGCACGAAAGCGUGGGGAGCAAACAGGAUUAGAUACCCUGGUAGUCCACGCCCUAAAC